UCAAAUAACAUCAUCAUAUGAAGGCACGAUUCCACGCCAUAGAUUGCAUUUGCAAACUUCACGUUAUCAAAAUUGACAAGCUGAGUUCCCCUAAAAAAAGGCAAGCUGAGUAGAAUAAUCAGCCCGAACAGAUACUUACACCGAAUUUCACAACUGAAUAUUAACAGAUAUUCAUACAGAACAUGCAAAUAAAUAAGAAAAUAUCCUAUAGUCUAGAACUAUGGUUCUCAAUUAAGCUAAAAUAUAACAUAAGCCACAAUACUUGUUCAUUCACAGACUGGUUCAUCAACUGAUCCUAGCUCCUUCAGUGCACUCCCUUUUCAAAUCCUCAACUACCCAAUUACUCCUGGCUCCCUUAAUGCACUCUCUUUUCAAAUCCUCAACCGCCCUGAAAAUGAAAAUGAACAAUGUUUUAGGCAAGUGCAAGAUAAGAUGUUCUUUGAUAAAUUAUAAGAAGUGUAUCAUACAAAUGCUUUGUUUGAAUGGUUGGCAUAGUUUUUUCUACCUAAAAGCCACAAAGAUUUUGAUAACUACAGUAUCUUAAAUGUGGAUAUUGGAGCACACUCGAUGCUUGUAUGGAAACAUACUUACAUGUGAGCAAGGCCAAGCAAAAACAUAACCAACAUCUCCUACUGUUUGGAAUUUUUCAUAUGGUCUAACCAGUUCACAUCACAUAGAUUUGUAGAGCCACAG
rnacentral:lncRNA from 1 species